rnacentral:rRNA from 1 species
GUGAACGCUGGCGGUAGGCCUAACACAUGCCAGUCGAACGGCAGCACAGUAAGAGCUUGCUCUUACGGGUGGCGAGUGGCGGACGGGUGAGGAAUACAUCGGAAUCUACUUUUUCGUGGGGGAUAACGUAGGGAAACUUACGCUAAUACCGCAUACGACCUACGGGUGAAAGCAGGGGAUCUUCGGACCUUGCGCGAUUGAAUGAGCCGAUGUCGGAUUAGCUAGUUGGCGGGGUAAAGGCCCACCAAGGCGACGAUCCGUAGCUGGUCUGAGAGGAUGAUCAGCCACACUGGAACUGAGACACGGUCCAGACUCCUACGGGAGGCAGCAGUGGGGAAUAUUGGACAAUGGGCGCAAGCCUGAUCCAGCCAUACCGCGUGGGUUAAGAAGGCCUUCGGGUUGUAAAGCCCUUUUGUUGGGAAAGAAAAGCAGCAGGUUAAUACCCCGCUGUUCUGACGGUACCCAAAGAAUAAGCACCGGCUAACUUCGUG